GCGCGGUUGGCGUAGAGGUUUAACGCAUCCGCCUUCCAAGCGGGAGACCCGGGUUCGAACCCCGGACCGCGCA
rnacentral:tRNA from 1 species